CCCUUAGAUGUGCUGGGCCGCACGCGGGAUACAAUGACCCGUUCAGAAAGUAUAACCUGACCCGGAAGGGAGUAGGUAAUCUUUUUAAUGCGGGUCGUGCUAGGGAUCGAUCUUUGCAAUUAUAGAUCUUGAACGAGGAAUACCUAGUAAGUGCAAGUCAUCAGCUUGUACUGAUUACGUCCCUGGUGUUUGUACUCACCGCCCGUCGCUCCUACCAAUUUCGAAUGAUCCGGUGAACCUUUUGGAUUGGGUGCAAGCCUAAGAAGUUAAGUAAACCUUAUCAUUUAGAGGAAGGAGAAGUCGUAACA
rnacentral:rRNA from 1 species